AGUGCACAUUGUUAGAGCUUAUAAUUGAGGCAAUUGGCUGGCCGAUGAACUUACAAGUAUAGAUUAUGUGCAGGGGCAAGUUUUUCGCUAACAUUGUAAGUGUCUCUGGCCAAUGAGUGGAGUUUGACAGUAAUCCUUGUUACAAGU
rnacentral:snoRNA from 1 species